rnacentral:rRNA from 1 species
UACGUAGGGUGCAAGCGUUGUCCGGAAUUAUUGGGCGUAAAGAGCUCGUAGGCGGUUUGGUAAGUCGGGUGUGAAAUCUCCACGCUCAACGUGGAGGGGCCACUCGAUACUGCCAUGACUCGAGUCCGGUAGAGGAGUGUGGAAUUCCCGGUGUAGCGGUGAAAUGCGCAGAUAUCGGGAGGAACACCCGUAGCGAAGGCGGCACUCUGGGCCGGAACUGACGCUGAGGAGCGAAAGCGUGGGGAGCAAACAGG